UGGUCUGGGUACGAAUGAAAAUUAGUUUCAAAUAGGUGAAAACUACAGCCAGACAUGAGAUAAAAGUUAACUUAGAGGAAAGACAAAAAGUUUUCCCCGACCUGGUUAUAUUACAUACCGAAGCAGUUUGUCCUGGAUUCUCCAGCAGGUACAAAGGUGAAGCCUGAUAUACAAGAGCUCGUUUUAGCUACUUGAAAUCCAACAUGUUAGUUGAGUAAAUAGAAGGUUUAUUAGUCGUAUAAAAAGGCCUUUGACUCACAAUUUUGAAUCAGACAGAAAGCUGUUACAAAAUAUUCUACAACCAAGGAACCUUAUAUAACUGGACUGUCUGUUUGGAAGCUAAUUAGUCAAUUAUUGUUCUCGACAGAAAAAAAACCAAGUAGAAUGGAGAAAUUAGAUAGGAUAUCGCAUGAGAAGAGGAUACUCAAAUCUUUGGGUUGCCUAAAGCUCAAUCUCAAUACGCGCCAAACAAAUCAAAACGGAAGACAAUUCGAGUAACCAUAGUUACAAUUAAACCAAAUUGACUUCCGUGUUCGUAGACAUCGCCGAAUGCCGACUUUAUUGUCUGUUAAAUGAUAUUAAACCGAACAAGAAAGUAGAUUUCUACAUCAUCAGGGAGAUCGAAAGUGAAGCAAGGGCCGAAAAGCGAGUUCUGCGAGAAAAUUUCACCUUCAUUGGCAACAAAAAAGCAGGUUGUAAAAAGGUUCAUUCAGUGUGAUAAACAUAGAUUGGAGUUUCAUUUUCGGGGUUUAGAAGGCACUCGAACCAAAAUAUGCACAAUCGGAUUGAAAACUGAGGAAAUUCCAAAUGACACAGAGAUUAUGCGGUGCUAAAGAAAACUUUGUGAGACCAAUGGUAUUUGAGUCUUCCAAAUGCAAAGAAGAGAGCCUUAAGCUUCACCCAAGAAAACAGGAAAGCAGUUAAAACACCAAGUAAAGUGAAGGCCAUCUCAUCCAGGCACGUAAAUACUGGGGGGUGUGGGAGGUGUGACACCCCCCAAUCUUUCAUCCAGUCGGAAAAUUUAAGGACAGUCGGAAAAUUUAAAGCUGUUGGAAGAAAGCUAGAUUAAUCAGAAAAGUUUGAAUCAUUUAUGAAAACUGAAGUUUUGACUCAAAUGACCUUGUGAACUGUAGCUCAAAGAGAAGCAUAAGAAAGGCAUAAGUUUUUCAAAAGAUGGUUCUUUAGUCUAAUAAUUCUAUCAACUGGACCCCCCCGACUUUGAAUCUCUUGGCGCCGCCCCUGUGAAAGGCUAAACGACCUCAUGAUUCUUACUUGCGAGAAAAACAUUUUGGACAACGUACAUUUAGAUAAGAUUGUGGAGCAAUGGGCAAGUCGUAGAAGGAGAAAAAUUAACACCUGAUUUUUGGACUACGUAUGUUUUGAUGCACUAAUUAAACUAACAGUCUUUAUGCUUCAUUUUCCAAAUUUACGAAAUCUAGAAACUUUAUCAUACAGCUGAAUACGAGACAAUUUAUAAGGUUUUGUUGGUAAAAAACUACCAAAGUUUAGGCCCUUAUACAAAAUUAGAAUUGACCUUUGUCAGUCAGAAAUUUUGAGCCCUUCAUCCCCCCAAUUUACGUCCCUGAUCUCAUCACAAUUGUUAAUCAAUUUAGAACAAGACAGAAUUUUGGGACAGAUGUAAUAAAUAAUUACAAAGAACAAUCUUAUUUUUCAAACCCUUUGAUGCAUGACAAAAGGACGUUUCUGAAUAACAUAAAUUGUUUCGAUGCCAAAAAUCUUUAGAUAGAUAAAGAAAGGAUUGGCAAGCAAAAAAGUUGGAAGAAUAGCUGUGGCAGACAACAGGUUUAAACUUGAGUCUAAAUACGUAGGCGGGUGUCAGCGCUUCAGACAAAGAUUAGAUCUUUCCAAUGAAAAAAGUAUCAAUGACAUUAAGCUGAGACGGAAAGGAACUCGUUGUGUUUGCUACUUUUGCAAAACUGGAGAGGAGGAAUAUUAACUGAAAGAGUUUAUCUCUAAGUCCGAUGCGACAUUUUUCCUAACACCCCAUCACUACAACCUGCCGUGCAGUAUCUCAAAUAAGAUAAAUUCCCGAUCAGGUUUCAGUUUUCUCAGUAAUAACUGAGCUUUGUAUUGGUUUCAAGUUUCAAUAUUGGGCAGCAUCAAGAUUGAACUGAUCACGACGUUCUUAGUAUGAAAAACACUAUCAUUAGAAUGAAAUCAAAGAUCCCUGGAAGCCUAUAGACAAUCGAACCCCUGAACUCCCUUAGAAUAACUCUGAAUUCACCAGGAAGUACCCGAGAGGUAGAGCAGAUAGUAUGCCUUAACGCCAGGUCGUUCUUGGCCUACAAAAUAAUUCCAGUAGAACAGUCAGUAGUACGGGCCUGUCCUUGUUUCUGCACCAUCGUCCUCUCAUGAAUGAAUAUCAGUUGGGCAAUUUAAGGUCAUUAAAGGAUUUCGAAAGGGAUACAAACAGUCUGAAUCGGAAUGAAACCACAACUUAAUUUAAGAGUUGCCUUUGUUGUGACGACUGAAGCAACUGCAGGCAAGAAAACCUAACGAUUAUUUGUAGAGAUUCUUAGUGGCUCUAGCCUGACCAACCUUAUAGGAAGUGUGGCAAUCCUCAAAGGGCAUAAUUUAAGAACCAGUGCGUUUAUAAUCAUUGUCUUUGCGUAACUCAACAGAAAUUAAAGACAAAAAAGGAAUCAACAGAACAUUUGUUGGAUGAAAAAAAUAAGCACUUCUUUAAAGUUAGUAAUGAAGACGGGCUUUAGUUUAUAAGAAAUGUAUUUUCGAGGCUACGUGAAUAAAAAUUGGUGCUUCAUUGUUGCAUAUAACAAGCAAAGGGUUAAUGAGAUGUUUUGUAGGCAACAACAUGCUAUGUUGCACUUCCAUAUGAAUUUGUUUGGCUGGUUGGUUUGGUUGUUUGUCACUGAAAGUUGUAAUUACAGAAACCAAUAAACAAAGAAAGUGAAUGUGAUUACUCCUUUGGAAAAAUAGUUCACAUGCAUAGACAAAAGACUAUGAACUAAACAAAUGCAAAUCUCGGAAUCUUAAAUGUUCAGUGAAGCGAGUAAUGAGGAAUGGGGGAAUUACCUUUCACUUGCUGUUGAACACGACUUUCCAGUCCAAAAUUAGUAACAGUGAUGUCAUUUGAAAUGUCGGGCCUGGUCAUCUCGCCUUCUACCGGGAAAAACACAUCUUCAAAGUCACUGAAUCCAAAUGCAUCUCCGUCGACUUCAUCAUCAUACGGGGAGCUACACGUCGAUCCGUCCGUGCAGCUCAUUGGCUGUGGAGGCUCUUUCUCCAGUGGCGAACUGCAUGUCAGUAUAUCUUCGAAUGAAGAAGACGAGCCUUCGUGCAGAUUUGGAUCGAAGUCCACUAGCUUUCCAAAACCCUCCAACAAAAAAUCUUCUUCAAAACUAUUGCCUUUGAAAAGGUCCAUCUCUUCUUUUUGCAAGCAAAAUCUACUAAUGCUAUAUUGACAAAAUGAAAUCCUUUCUUGAUAAAUUCACUAGAUUUCAAGGCAACUGAACAAAAUGUCAGUGUUACAGUCUUGAAUGCUUGCAAAACACACCUCUAGCGACACGAUUUGAUUAAAUCGACAAAAUAAAAUGUGGUCAUACGUUCAACGAUGUUGCCAGCUUGCUAUCAUUUAAUCAAACCAUAUUGAUGUAGAUGUUUUAUAAGGCUUCAUAUGUUUCAGUCCUUUCAGAGAUUGAUUGACAGGUCCAAACAAAGAAGACGACCGCUAAACAGUGAGAAUGGAAUGCGGAACUUUCCCGCGGCAGAUCUUAAAUUUGUCUCAUUUGGAGAACGACAACUGGGCGACGGGUUGUGUUUUAUCACGAAGUACCCAUGAUUCAUUUUUGAGAGAAGGAAUCCCGAACCAAGAAUAAUAAGCGGCUAGAUAUCUGAAUAUUACUUAGUUAUCUAUCAUUGGUGGAGCUCCUGUAAUUUUUCUUUUAAAUUGGUUUGCUUCAGUUUGCUGCACACAAAUGAAUUUGGUUUGUUUGGCAGUUGCAUGUUAUAAUCACUUUCGCAAAUUCGGGUAUCAACAUUUCCAUAAAAAAGUGGAUUGAUAAGAAAAUGUUCUUUUGGGUAGGAUAAAUUGCUAAAUUAAAAAUUUCGUUGUAGAAUGGCACCUGUUUGCUACUGGUGAUGCUAUGGUUAACAUAUUUAUCAUUGCAAUACAGUCUCCUGUACUGGUGCUCUAGGAGCGCAGGUUUUGGUGAAGGGUGAACUUUAGGUUUUUGAUAUCUUACAAAGAACUAUUAGUGGAUGAAAAGAAAAAAGUUUGUCAAAUACCUAUAAAAGUUUCCAGAAAGACUUAAUAGCGAAUCUUUUGAUUGGCGAGAGACCUGCUAGGCUUGCUGCGGACAAGAGUAAAUAAAAAUCUUCAGGUUCUAAAGCAAAUAUAUGCACUGAGACCGAGAAAUCACCACCCUUGCAACUAGAGAAACAAUUGGAGAUGUAAAAUGAACUCAAGGUCAUAUUUUUAGGGCACUCGAUGUUGGAAAUUUCGGGAAGUCAGUCCAGACAAAUUUAUUAUACAAUAUGUGAAUCAAUCCUAAAAAUACUUGCUUCACAUUUUUUACAUCAAACACCUAAAGAAAAAAUAUAAAAUAAGAAAUUAACGAGCUGCGUAGCCUUCAAUCUGAAUUCAGUUGGAUUUGGGUAAAAAUUUCUGUUUGAAUUUGGCUUUUCCUAAUUUCCAUUGUCUCAUUUUACCUUCUUGAACUUACUUCUUUUAAACAUACAUUUUUAAAGAGAAAAUGAUCACACGAUUAAUGAAUAAUAAUAAUAGUAAUAAUAAUAAUAGAAGUAGAAAUUAAGCUGUGAUAUAAUGCCAAUGAUUUUUCUACCUUGCAUCAGUAAGUAGUUUUUAGGAUACAGAAAAGCUAUUCUUGUCGAGCAGUGUCCUUGUCCUUCCUCUCGAUGCGACCACACCUCGUGAUUCCUAUGCCUGGAAUUACACCCCUCCUCACUCUGCUUUAAAGUUUCGUCAUGUCAAGAGCUCGAAACACAAACACUUCGGUCUGUUGUCAGCGACCCUCACCGAAACCCAUACUUUUUGGUUCACUAUUGUGCUGACAGCAGCUAUAUUAGAAUUGGGGAAACCAACACAACCGGAUCUCUAAAAUUUUCAAAUUAAUGCAACCCAUUUGCGUUUUAAUUUGAUUUUUUCGUACCAAAUGGAAGAUUGAAGUUUAGCGAGAAAUGCACGCACGUCAAACAUACCAGUUUCUGAGAAAAAAGUUUUCCAAAACCGGGAACUGCCUGCCUUCGUUGCAUGACAAUAGAAGCGGUAUAAAGUCAGAGCCAAUGGCCGGAGCUUCUUUCUUGUUUAUUUCAAUUAGAAAAAGACGUCAUAGAAUAGAAAAGCUGUUGAAAUCUUAUUUAAUUGAAAAACCAUUCACUUGGAAAAUCUAAUGCGGCCUUGCAUGUACGCAAGCUUUCACAAGGUGGUCCUGAAAGACUUGUGAUGCUUCCGCAAGACUUGUGAUGCUUCCGCAAGACUUGUGAUGCUUCAUGUGAUGGAAUUCUAUGAUGCUUUCACAAGUGAUGUCAUUCAUUCUCGAAUUCCAAGCGGUAAUGGUAGGAUACCUUCUCUAAACAACGCCUAGAAUUUGCACAAAUUGAGAAAUCGAUCUUGGAAUAAAUAGGGGACAUGUCAUUGUGCUAAUACAGAUGCUAAUACUGGGUGCGGGAAAUCACUAUAAUAGCCUUAAUUUGAAAAGCCUAAUAUUGAAUACGCGAAUCCCCCGUGAAAUCACUCUGAAAUCUAAUAACGCUGAAUCAGAAACGGUACAUGAUAGGAAGAAAU